GGGGAUGUGGCUCAGUGGUAGAGCACUUGCUUGGCAUCCAUGAGACCCCUGGAUUCUAGGUUCAAUUCCAAGCACCA
rnacentral:tRNA from 1 species